rnacentral:tRNA from 1 species
GACACUUUGGCCGAGUGGUUUAAGGCGCAGGCCUGCUACUUGCUUGUUCCAAGUAACUAGUAGAUUAGCCUGUGGGUUCGCCCGCCUGGGUUCGAGUCCCAGAGGUGUCG